UACGUAGGGGGCAAGCGUUGUCCGGAAUCAUUGGGCGUAAAGCGCGUGUAGGCGGCCCGAUAAGUCCGCUGUGAAAGUCCAGGGCUCAACCCUGGGAUGCCGGUGGAUACUGUCGGGCUCGAGUCCGGAAGAGGCGAGUGGAAUUCCUGGUGUAGCGGUGAAAUGCGCAGAUAUCAGGAGGGACACCAAUGGCGAAGGCAGCUCGCUGGGACGUGACUGACGCUGAGACGCGAAAGCGUGGGGAGCAAACAGG
rnacentral:rRNA from 1 species